UGGAAGGGAGAAGAGCUUUAAU
rnacentral:miRNA from 1 species